rnacentral:rRNA from 1 species
AACCCAGUGUGAUUCGUCACACUAUCAUUAACUGAAUCCAUAGGUUAAUGAGGCGAACCGGGGGAACUGAAACAUCUAAGUACCCCGAGGAAAAGAAAUCAACCGAGAUUCCCCCAGUAGCGGCGAGCGAACGGGGAGGAGCCCAGAGCCUGAAUCAGCAUGUGUGUUAGUGGAAGCGUCUGGAAAGGCGCGCGAUACAGGGUGACAGCCCCGUACACAAAAGCGCAUGUGCUGUGAGCUCGAUGAGUAGGGCGGGACACGUGGUAUCCUGUCUGAAUAUGGGGGGACCAUCCUCCAAGGCUAAAUACUCCUGACUGACCGAUAGUGAACCAGUACCGUGAGGGAAAGGCGAAAAGAACCCCGGCGAGGGGAGUGAAAAAGAACCUGAAACCGUGUACGUACAAGCAGUGGGAGCACAGGUUUACCUGUGUGACUGCGUACCUUUUGUAUAAUGGGUCAGCGACUUAUAUUCUGUAGCAAGGUUAACCGAAUAGGGGAGC